CCCUCGCGAGGCUGCCCUCGCAACUCCGCGCGUGAGGCGUCGGACCCGAGCGCGCGUGAACCGCGUGAGCUGAGGGUACCGAGCUCGCGCCCUCCCCUUCCUCCUGGUGAGAUUUGGCGUUCUUUUCCUCCCCCAGUGUGUCUGACGGAGCCCAGGUUGGCACUUUGGCUUCAGCACGGCUAAUACCACAUUAAAUUUGUUGAGAGCCAGCCAAUCCCAAGAUAUGUGAAGAAGCCCACCCAGGAUCAGAAAUUUUAUGUAGCUGAUCUACAGCUGAGUGCAGAGACAUAAGCUAGCCCAGUCUGAAGCCCUGAAUCACCAUGUAAAGCGAUCCAGCUAUUCUACUGGGAAGAGCAUAGAAAGAGAGACACCCUUCCAGCCCUAACUGUUCCAGUCAUCCCAACAGAGUGAAGCCCUCUUGUAUAUUCAAACCCCAGCUAUCUCAGCAGAACAAUUGAACCCAGCUUCCAACUGACCAAUCAGCUGAAUGCAACCAUGUCAAUAACCCUGGUUGGCAACACGCGGAGAAGAAAAUUACUUAGCUGAAUUCUAUCCGAAUCCUUGAGCAAAUGUAAUGGUUGCUGCUAAUUUCUGAGCAGUUUAUUAGAUAGCAAUAGAUAAUGCAGUAUACACAGAAUAAGACAACCACAGGUAGUCUUGGCCUCUACAAGUCAGUAAUCUAUAUUUACUCCUGAUUUAAAUCCUACUAAAAUGGUAAUAAACCAAUGGAUACAGUUUAUGCUUUGAAACAAUAAGAGUUUGUUUCACCAUCCAACUAGCUGUAGAUAAAUGAGGAGUGAGGAAAAUGCCAGAAUGCUGUUCCGAAAGACACUCUAGAGCUGAGGUUCUUCCUUUGAGUAAUCAGAUUAAAUUCAAGUCUUAAUACAAGCCACAUGGUGGAGAGGAAAGAAGACAUGACUAUAAAGCAGUCUUGUUUUUGAUGUUGAAAUGGUGGAAUGUCAGUAUUAAAAACAUUUUCCUUUAUUGUUUUUUUUUUAAGAGAAAAAAAUGUGUAUUGUUUACUAACAUAGGCUACAGAGAAACUUCUACAGACAAUUCUACAGAUAUGGAACAUGCACUUUCUUUUUUAGUACUCCUGUCUUCAUUAUCCUGAUGAGAUCCUAUGCAUUCUUAUAUUCUUAACUGUGAUGAUAGUGGCCAUCAUCAUUGUCAUCAUCGUCAUCAACAUCAUCAUCAUUGUCAUCCUCAUCAUCAUCACCAUGUUUUUCAAGGAGGACCUGAAUCUGAGGCAGUGAACUCAAAGGGAAACAAUGAGGGCACAAAGAGGGUGAUAUAGCAAAGGAGGAAAGGAGAAGGUACAGGAAGGAAUGGAAUAUAAGAACUCUUGGUAAAGAUUUAAAAGAUAGGGGAGUAAGCAUCAUAAAAAUAUGA